rnacentral:rRNA from 1 species
CCUCCUUGACUCAGCAUUAUGGAAUCUUCCACAAUGGGCUAAAGCCUUAUGGAGCAACGCCUCGUGGGUGAAGAAGGUCUUCGGAUCGUAAAACCCUGUUGUUAGAGAAGAAAGUGCGUGAGAGUAACUGUUCACGUUUCGACGGUAUCUAACCAGAAAGCCACGGCUAACUACGUGCCAGCAGCCGCGGUAAUACGUAGGUGGCAAGCGUUAUCCGGAUUUAUUGGGCGUAAAGGGAACGCAGGCGGUCUUUUAAGUCUGAUGUGAAAGCCUUCGGCUUAACCGGAGUAGUGCAUUGGAAACUG